GGGCCCGCACAAGCGGUGGAGCAUGUGGUUUAAUUCGAUGCAACGCGAAGAACCUUACCUACUCUUGACAUCCAGAGAAUCCUGUAGAGAUACGGGAGUGCCUUCGGGAGCUCUGAGACAGGUGCUGCAUGGCUGUCGUCAGCUCGUGUUGUGAAAUGUUGGGUUAAGUCCCGCAACGAGCGCAACCCUUAUCCUUUGUUGCCAGCGAUACGGUCGGGAACUCAAAGGAGACUGCCGGUGAUAAACCGGAGGAAGGUGGGG
rnacentral:rRNA from 1 species